GAUCCGAAGUUCAUCCAGCUCCAGCUCCGGUUCCCUAACGCGGUUUUCGAGGAGCUGGCGUUGGGUGCACUUCCCGCAGAUGUAGUCAGCAGGGACACUAAUGGUGACCCUUACCUCCCACAUUCUGCAGGAGGAACAUUCAACUGCCUUGACCUCCAUUCCCAUUAUUCUAAAUUCCCAGAGACUGGUGAAAAAUAAAGAAUAAAAAAUAAACUAGUUACCUUACCAAUCUGGCGCACAGAACCUUUUUUUUGGUUACAGGAGGAGGAUGGGCGGGAGACACUACCCGGAUAGUGUUUCGGGUAACGCAACCACACAAAUAUAUUACUUCACUUACUCAGCAGUCCCGUGUCCGCUCCUGCUCAGCGUACCUCCGCCUAUUCACGAGCUCAAAACUAGUUAUGUUCCGUGGACAUGGACUACUUCAGCAUCUGAGGAGCUAUGAGUGGUGCUGAACAUGACACAAUCAACUGAGAACAUCCCCACGUACGACCUUCUGACGGAGGGAUGGCAUUUGAUGAAACAGUUGAAGAUGGUUGAGCUCAGGGCACAAAUUUACGUAACCCCCGCAGUGACGCUUUGGAGUUGGGGCAACUGACUUCCAAUAACCACAACCACUUCCUUUAUGGUAAGGUUCCAGCCGGCAGAGGGUUUUUCACCUGAUUCUUACUGACUGCAGCUUUGCGACGGCUCCUUGAUGUCAUAUUUGGUUGAAUGGCACCUUGAUGUUAUCUACCCCUCAGGACAUAUUCACAGAGUGCAUUUGGAAUCUUAAAACUGUACCACUGGAACCAAGCAGUAGAAAACGUACAAAAAAUAUCAAUGGGCGAAAAGUAGGGAGCGAAAGGGAGAAGGAAAUCCUCAAGGAAACAUUGAGAAAAACUGAGAAGACUAAGUUAACAGGUUCCCUGGACCUGAAGACUUGGAUCCCAGAUUGGAACAAUUCUAUCAAGUGGAAUAAUAUAUUACUCACCGGAAUGCAGUACUCCACCAUUGGGUAAUGCACCUUGUGUCUCUUUGAUGUGUGUCCUGACAAGAAACAGCUUCGGCAGAUGUCAUAAUUGAAGUGUUUGAGGCUGCGGUACCUAUAAAGGAAGAACAAGAAACCCUUGGAUAGACACAUCAAGCCAAUUUUCAAAGAAAGCACUCUGAUUCUUCGACUCCAACCCCUGGAAAAGGAAGUUGCAGAAUGUCACUGACUGACUUGACUGAUUUGAAUACAGCAUAAGAUACAUAGAACAUCGAACAGUACAGGCCCUUCAGCCCACGAUGUUGUGCCGAACUUUUACCCGAAACCUCAGGUCUAUCAAACCUCCACCCCUAUCUUAUAUUACCAUCCAUAUGCCUGUCUAAUAGUCACUUAAAUGCCCCUAAUGAGGACGAUUCCGCGACCCACUCGAGCUAAAACAAAGAUCUCUUUGAACUGUCAUUUGUCACACAUGUAUUGAAUCAAAAAACAAAUUUCUCACUUCCAUAGAUUUCUAUAGCACCUUAAUAUGAUGUGAAGAUUAUACUUCACCCUUUCAUUUUAUAAAUACAACUUUAA